GUCCACGCCGUAAACGAUGAACACUAGUUAUUGGGGGUAUUGACUCCCUCAGUGACGCAGCUAACGCAUUAAGUGUUCCGCCUGGGGAGUACGGUCGCAAGACUAAAACUCAAACAAAUUGACGGGGGCCCCGCACAAGCGGUGGAUUAUGUGGUUUAAUUCGAAGCAACGCGCAGAACCUUACCUAGGCUUGAACUCCUACGAACCUCUUGUAAUGGAGAGGGUGUCCGCAAGGAAAUGUAGUGAGAGGUGCUGCAUUGCUGUCGU
rnacentral:rRNA from 1 species